rnacentral:lncRNA from 1 species
CUUCAUUUAUCUGAUGAAAGGAGGCAAUACAAAUAAAUGAGUUGGAAACUAGAAACAUCUCUGCAGUCAACAUUUGGAAACAUCAUUAUUCUGUAUUUAUUUGAGCUGCCCAGCCCAGGCCUGCAGGAUAGGGCCCCACUCCAUCAAGGCUCCUGUUUCCUCCUGAGCCCGAGCAGAUGGUACCUUCUCUUAUAGCCUCCAUCCUUCCCAGAACACUCCAGGUACUAUUUUCUAUUUUCUGGGGGCAUUUGGCAUAGUUCACUGUUUCCUGAGAGGCAGCAUAGCUUAGCGGAGAGCUCUCAGGCUUUGGUGUCAGUGAUUUGUGGGUCUGACCCCUGAUCCACCAGGCGUGCUAUCUGAUCUUGGAUUUCUCAGCUCUUCUAGAACUGAGCCUCAGUUUCUUCAGCUAUAAAAUGGGGAAAAUAUCUGCCUCUCAGGAUUGAGGUUAAAUAAAGUGUGAACUCAGCACAGGCCUGGCACACAGUAGGUGCUUAGAUAUCUGUUUUCAAAUUUCUGUCUUAAUGUGUAGUUUGUAUCUUCUUUAUUAUUUCCACCUUAAGAAAUAAAAGUUUGGGAUGAAAAGUAUUAUUGGUAACUGCCGAAUGUAUAUUUAAUCCAAUCAGUGAUCCAGGAGACAAAAGGAAUGGGCUUGGUUUGGGUGAGUGAUAAGGAGGCAACCUUCCACAUAGGAGGUGAGAAAGGGGAAAUGGCCUUAGCAAAGGCAGAGGGGCAGGAAAAUACAGGCUGUGUUUGUGGAACUCAGAAAGCUGGAGGGAAGACAAGAGCAGAAGAGACCAUUGUCCCCAAAUUGUGGAUCACCGCAAUUACUAAGCCAGUAAGUUUUGAUUUUGCCUUUUAGGCUGAACAAAAUCAUUGAAGAUUUCUUAGCAGAAUAAUAUGAUUAACAGUGUCUUCAGAAGGCUAUUGUGUGGGAACAAUUAACUAAACGAAUGAAAACAGCGCCCCUCUGCUCGGUGUGUAGUGCAGCAUCCCAUUUGUGUCUCCGUGCGUCCAGAAUAUGCUCCAAGGCAUGGUAGACCCAGUGAACAACACAAGACUGAUAAGACAGUGCCCCCAACAACACUGGAAAGUUUACCUUUCUUCACACAUCUAAUGCGCCUCUUUUUUGGUUAUAAAUACCAGGAACCGCCGGGCGCAGUGGCUCACACCUCUAAUCCCAGCAAUUUGGGAGGCCGAGGUGGGUGGAUCACCUGAGGUCAGGAGUUCAAGACCAGCCUGGCCAACGUGGAGAAACCCUGUCUCUAAUUAAAAAAAAUACAAAAUUAGCCGGGUGUGGUGGCGCAUGCCUGUAAUCCCAGCUACUCGGGAGGCUGAGGCAGGAGAAUUGCUUGAACCUGGGAGGUGGAGGUUGCAGUGAGCCGAGAUUGCGCCAUUGCACUCCAGCCUGGGCCAAAAAAAAGAGUGAAACUCCGUCUCAAAAAAUAAAUAAGUACCAGGAACCCACCUUAACUUAAAAAAA